CAUUUUCGCACUCAAGUUGCGCAUCACACCACUAUGCGAAUUUGGAUUCUCUUAGCACUCUUGACAAUGGUGCUCACCGUUCCGGUAUUCGUGAAAAGCCUUGAAGAGCAUGAAAUUCCGAUUGACUGUUUUAGAAAUGGCACUUGCAGGUACCCUGAAGUGUGUAAACAAUGUCCAAAGCCUGAACCAUAUGGUUUUUUGAGAUAUACAGUUUACUACUUCAAUACCAGCACUGAGCGCUGUGAAGAGACCAUUGCAAACAUGGAGACAAGUUGCAACAGCUUUCAAACAUUGGGUGAUUGUGCGCACUUUUGUGGCCUUGAAUAUGAAGAUUACGAAGACGAAUGAUCCUAUAGAAAGCAUCAGAUACCCUGUGGCCUUCAAGAACACCUGUGCCUUUUUGCUGAAACUUCAAAAGAAAACACACUUCACCUAAUUCAUCAACUACCACUAUCAUUUUGAAAAUACGGCGCAGUAAAGAUAAU